rnacentral:lncRNA from 1 species
AUUAUUAGAUUUUUUAAAGGAUUUCGUUAAAAUUCAUAUAAGAUUUUAUUAUGAUUUGUUUAGGAUUUCAUUAGAAUUUUAUUAGAAUUUUAUUAUCAUUACAUUAGGAUUUGAUUAGAAUUUACUUAAGAUUUUUAUUUUUGAUAUUUUAUGAAGAUUUUUCUAUGGUUUUUUAUGGUCUUUUUAGAAAUUUUAAAGGAUUUUAUUAUGUUUCUUUUAUAAGUUUUUUAAGACUUCUUUUGGAUUUUAUUAUGAUUUUUAAGCAUUAGUUGGAUUUAUUUAAAUUUCUAUUAAAGUUGCUAGGACCUUGUUAUUAUAAUUUCUAAUUUACCUUCCAUAACUAAG